rnacentral:rRNA from 1 species
UACGUAGGUGGCGAGCGUUGUCCGGAUUUGCUGGGUGUAGAGGGCGUGUAGCCGGGAAGGCAAGUCAGGUGUGUAAUCUGGGGGCUCAACCUCCAAACUGCAUCUGAAACUGCUUUUCUUGAGUAUCGGAGAGGUAAUCGGAAUUCCUAGUGUAGCGGUGAAAUGCGUAGAUAUUAGGAAGAACACCAGUGGCGAAGGCGGAUUACUGGACGACAACUGACGGUGAGGCGCGAAAGCGUGGGGAGCAAACAGGAUUAGAUACCCUGGUA